CUUUGUUCCCUCUUCUGGACGGUUUCGUGUUUGCUUUGAGCACCUGCCAGCGGCCGAGGCAACGUAACGGUGUUUCGCAGGUCUGACCAAGUCACUCAGCUGAAGACCAUGCCAGGGCUGAUUUGGGCUGUUGAAGUGGUAAUGUUCCUGUUUGCUUCUGCUGCAGCUGAGUACAAAACUGGAUCCACAGACGUUGUGUUGCGAGGAACACGCCAAGACACAGCGCUCUCAACUGAGCACUUCUCAGUAACAACCCUUACUGGUGCUGUACUAAAGUGGAAGUGUCAAGGUGAUUCAUCUGUCUGCCACUGCUGACAGCUGUGUUACACGGGGUGCCCUGGGUAGGAGCAUUGUUUGGACUGAAGAAUGGUUGAAGGAUGAGACACGAGAGGACUGAAGAAAGGACGGGCGAUACAAGCGGAGAGCGUAUAGUGCAGGAACAUUCAAACAUUUGCAUGAUUUCUGGAGCUCAUUUUCACUGGAUGCCAGCAGGACAUCAGAAUAGUAGGUACCUUAUAUAAGUCUACCAACGCAAAAGCAUGUAAAGUAUCCUGUUAAAUCUCCAAUAUAUAUGAGGAAUGAUUAGUAGCAAGUUAAAACAUUCUUUCUCUAAAACUUACCAGUUGUUCUACUGACCAUUUGCUCCGUAAUUCCAGCCCAAAAUGUACCAUUUCUUUUACCAUAAGAAAAAUAAAUAAUUUAAGUAAGCAAAUAAUGUAACUAAC
rnacentral:lncRNA from 1 species